UGGGGAAUUUUGGACAAUGGCGAAAGCCUGAUCCAGCAAUGCCGCGUGUGUGAAGAAGGCCUUCGGGUUGUAAAGCACUUUUGUCCGGAAAGAAAUCCUUGGCUCUAAUACAGUCGGGGGAUACGGUACCGGAAGAAUAAGCACCGGCUAACUACGUGCCAGCAGCCGCGGUAAUACGUAGGGUGCAAGCGUUAAUCGGAAUUACUGGGCGUAAAGCGUGCGCAGGCGGUUUGCUAAGACCGAUGUGAAAUCCCCGGGCUCAACCUGGGAACUGCAUUGGUGACUGGCAGGCUAGAGUAUGGCAGAGGGGGGUAAAUUCCACGUGUAGCAGUGAAAUGCGUAGAGAUGUGAGGAAUACC
rnacentral:rRNA from 1 species